rnacentral:rRNA from 2 species
CCGAUUGAAUGGCUCAGUGAGGCGUCCGGACUGGCCCAGAGAGGUGGGCAACUACCCCUCAGGGCCGGAAAGCUCUCCAAACUCGGUCAUUUAGAGGAAGUAAAAGUCGUAACAAGGUCUCCGUUGGUGAACCAGCGGAGGGAUCAUUA